UAGGGAGGUUCCGUAGACUUGGGAGGGGUUUAGGGAGGCUAGAGAGAAGUUAGAGAGAGAAAGAGAGGCUUAUGGUGUGAAGAAAAUAUGAGGAGUUCACCCUUGUAUUUAUAGGAGUUUUAUAGUAAAGUAGUCUCUAAGCUUCGUCCGUAACUUUUGCAUACGAGCUCCGUUUUUGUCUGUCUUUUUACCGUUGAGUUCCUAUUAAUGAGAUCUUCAACUUUCAUUUAGACCUCGUUGGCUAAUUCUCAUUCUAUCUCGGAUUUACAAAACUGUAUCGAAUUCGCCGCGCUCGAAAAGUAGGGACUAAGCUUCGUCCAUAACUUUCGCAUACGAGCUCCAUUUUUGUCUGUCUUUUUACCGUUGAGUUCCUAUUAAUGAGAUCUUCAACUCUCAUUUAGACCUCGUUGGCUAAUUCUCAUUCUAUCUCGUAUUUACAAAACUGUAUCGAAUUCGCCGCGCUCGAAAAGUAGGGACUAAGCUUCGUCCAUAACUUUUGCAUACGAGCUCUAUUAUCGACGUUCUUUAUAUCCACGCGUUGGUAUUUACGAGUACUACAACUUUCAUUUAGAUCCCGUCGGCUAAAAAUCGACCGAUCUAAAAUUCAGAUUUCGGGCUGUGCACUGCUAUGCUAAAUCUUAGAAAAAUCAUAACUUCCUCAUACGAAGUCAGAUUUGGGCGUUCUUUUUAUCGAUGUUCUUAGUUUAACAUAUUCUACGACUUUCGUUUAGAUCGCUAAGGCUAAAUCUCGCUCUAUCGUAAAUUCACUAUUUACGCUUCCCGGUAUCGUGCCGGUUCCGUCGCGAAACUUCAACGGGUCAUAACUUCUUCGUUAUAACUCGGUUUUCGGCGUUCUUUAUAUGUACGAAAACCUUGUAACAUACUCUACAACUUGGUUAAGAUUAUUUAUUCUAAAUAAUCUUUUGUCGAAAAGUCGUUUUCGACCCCUAUUGCCUCUAAUUUGACUAGCCCAGAUUUGCGGGCGUUACAAUUAUCUCCCCCUUAGGAUGAUUACGUCCCGGAAUCAUCAACGAAACAGGGUCGUAUAAUGACUCCAUACGUCAUCUCUUCAUCCUAGGUAAUAAUUAUAACUUCUACAUUCCUUCGAUUCUAUCUCUUAAACUCAUUGACUGUAAGAGUACUCGAUCGUGCACCUGCUCUCUACCUCAGGUUAGACUCCAAAUUAUGACCUUCAAGUCACAAUCUCGAUCCUUGCUGGAUACGGACUUGAGAUAAGUUCUUUUAUUACUACUAUAGAUCGAUGUGUCAUAUUCUAAUGACCUAUCAUCGUAUGUUGCAACACUUAGACUUAGGUCUCUUAGAGUUAAAUUCUAAAACAGACUAUGCCUUCCUUCAUGUUCUAAUGUGAUAUAAUCACACUUUAACAUUAGGCAUUUCUAGCCACCAACUUCUUUAACAACGAGUGCGAUACUUCUAUUGAUCGCUUUGAUUUCAACCGUUUGGUUUAAGUCGGACGCUACAUCAAACUUGGUUCUCUGAACCACACAACAUACUCAUCGUAGUCGGACUCGAUUCGAUAUGACCACUAGGGUCGGAAUAUCAACAAUCUUCUUAGUCAUUACCGAAACGAUGGUAACAACACACUUGAAUAAAACGAAAUCAAUUACUAGCUUCUUGGUAACCUUGUGACUUUCCCUGAUCCAAGUGUGAGUCCUGUGCUUCCGGUAGUAUAGGCCUCUACUACCAUUCACACCUACUCAUACUCGUCCCAAGUAUUGUCUCGCAGUUUCCCAAGUCACCAUGCAGCAAAUCACACAAUCAUUCGACACAUCAGAUAACAAAACGAAGGUUUUAUAUUAAUUCUUGAAACGAUUACAUAGGUGUUCAAGUUCACCCUAGACUAUGCCUCUACUAGGCUACAUCAUACGAAACUAUGGCUACUGCAUAAUCCGAUCUUCGGGUAAGAAGUCCUCAUUCUUGAUUCCUCGCAUGGUUCUCUGCUUCGUCGAGGAUCAUGUGAAAUGCCCUUGGCCUUGGUGGCGUUUCUGGUCUUGCUGCUUUAUUUUUCCUUGGGCAGUCUCUGGACAUGUGCCCCUUGCCUCCACAUCCGUAGCAUACUUUGUCAUUAUGUGUGCAGUCUUUGGAAUAGUGACCCGUCCUCCCACACUUGUAACAAGUCACUUCUUCGUUGCACUUCCCACCAUGCUUCUUCUUGCAUUUAUCACACCAUCUUGUUUCACCUCCAUCUGCUCCUCCGAGUUUUGAGAAUUUGCUUUCCUUGUUCGACCUCGAAGAUCCCUCAAACUUUCGCUUCUCUCCUGCCUUAUCUUUUUCUAGACCCUUUUCUCUUAUCUGGGCCUCUACGUUCUUAGCUGCCCUAAUAGCUGCUUUUAAGGUAGUUGCCAUUUUGACCAUUGGACCAAAGUCAGUGGGCAGUCCGUUAGCAAACCUAUCAAUCUUGGAGAGUUCAGUAGGCACCAAGUAGGGAAAUAGCUUCAUCCUCUCGGUAAAUGCGGUGGCAUACUCAUCAACACUCAUCUUCCCUUUCUUCAGGUUCUGAAACUCGUUGUUUAGGUCUAUCAGAUCUACCUCCGAGCAGUACUGCAUUUUCAACUGUUCCAAAAACUCUUCCCACGACAUCCUUAAGGCUUCUCCUCGUGGCAUCGUAUCUGCCAAUAGCUUCCACCAGCUCAAGACUCCAGUUUUCAGCUGUCUUACUGCAAAGACAGUCUUCUGUUUCUCAUUACAGCUGCAGCUCUCAAACACCAUCUCCAUCUCAGAGAUCCAAUCCAUAACCUCAACCGGCUUUGGGCUUCCUGAGAGGCUUGGUGGUUUCGCACCCAAGAAGUUCUUGUACAUCCGCCCAUCCUUGUUGUUUCUCCCUUCUGGGCCAUCCCUUUGCUCACCUUGAGUCCCAACUUGACUCACUUGGCGGCUGUAGUUCCCUUCCUCAGAUUGCUCGGGAAUCAGUUCGGGUUGCUCAAUGGGCAUAGUAGGUUCGUCCCUAUUCAACAUCCGUCUCAUUUCUUCCCUUUGUUCAGCCAACAUAGCCCGAAUCAUGGCUUGAACUCCAGCCAUGGUGACUGGCUCAGGCGCAACUUCUUCUACAACAGGUAUUUGCUGAACCACUGGGGGUUGGUUCCUGUUCCCAUUUGCGUUUACGUUUCCGCUACGGGUCCUUACCAUCUCGAUCUAUACACCGAAUAAGGUGAAUUUAGACCUUUACUUGACGUUUAAAUCAUCCUUAUCACUCCGAAACAUUUACAUGCUAGUUCUAAUACCGUAGUCGUACGUUUAGAAUCCUAAACACAUAAGGUUUCCAGAUCCGGUCGGCAACAGACCAUAGAUCCGAACAAUUAACAACAUAUCAUGCACAAAGCAUUUAGCACAUAAAAGCAUUUUAGGCACAAUUCCUAAAAUAAGCUAGUGCUCACACCUCACAAUCAUCGCUUAGCAUUCUAAGUUUAAGUCUAGAAAUAAAUCCAUAUUCCUAGUUCGCUUAAACUAAUGCUCUGAUACCAACUGUGACAUCCCCAAAAUCACGGCCAGAAAAGACCGAUUUUGUUUAUGCUUUAUAAAAAUCAGAGUACUUCAUUUUAUAAAAAGGUUGCGGAAUUUGUUCCCAGAAAAACAUGGUAAAUACGUUAUUAAAACAUUUUCGAAGAAACGUAUUUAUUUCAUUUUAAAAUGUUUGGGAUGUCAUCGUUAAUACCGAAACAUAAGCAUAAACAGAAUUACAAUGAUUUACACUAGUGAUCUACAUCUCUUUUAAAUCUCUCAGUGUAAUGUCACUUCACUUCGUCACCUGUGAUAUACAUAAACUGAGUGGGUCAGGUUGGGAAACCUGGUGAGUACAUAGGGUUUUCAACCCACAAUAAUAUAAUUAUUAUGUUCAAUCAAACAAUCAACCCAAUUACCCAUCCCCAUUAUCUUCUUUACUCUUUAAGGAUUUAACCUAAGAGUCAUCUAUCCUGCAUUCGUUUAUUCCGAAGUCCCUUACUUCCAGGGUUAUGGGACUGGCACUAAAUCCAUAGCUGCCAAUGUUCGUUCAUAAAGCACUAAUUCCAUAGCUGCUAUAGUCUAUUCAUCGGGUACUAAAUCCAUAGCUACCAGUCUUUAUCUAAUAGGUACUAAGUCCAUAGCUACCAAUGUUCAACAGGUACUAAGUCCAUAGCUACCAAUUCCUACAGGUACUAAAUCCUUAGCUACCAGCGUCUAACUAAUAGGUACUAAGUCCAUAGCUACCAAUUCCCAACAGGUACUAAAUCCAUAGCUACCAACGUCUAAAAGGUACUAAGUCCAUAGCUACCGGUGUUUGUCCCAUAGGCACUAAGUCUAUAGCUGCCAAUGUAUACUCACGUCAUCUUCUAUCUCUCAUCAUUCAUCUACCCAUCUCAUACCCAACAUUUUCGUAUAUAUAAAAUACGUAUACAGUUUAAGUCCUUUAAAACAUGUAUAAAACGUUCAACCAGCAUAGACAGCAAGUAUUCAGAUAAUGUGCACACAUAGCACGUAGUUUAUAUAAAAUACUUCAUAUCUAUGUGUAAGAUGAAAGGGACUAUGCACUCACCUGAAAGGUGGUGAGUCGGCACUCGGACAGCACUUCGUUACUCUUAAAACAAUUAUCCCUUGACGAAACCUAGUAUCAUUACCACUAGAGUUUAGUCUAACGCUUGACGAGACUAAUUUAAUAGUCUAGCUAUUAUUACUAUUAUAUAAGCGUUAAAUAACACUCAAUAUAACUCAUAAUAAUAGCCUAAAUAAUUAUUUUAAGGUCCUAACAAUGUUACUAUAAUUAAAUAAAAUCUAUAUUAAAUAUACUAUAGGCGUAGCUCACUUACAGCGGGUUUUUAUUAAAAACCGGGCUUCGCUGGAGCAGCGUUUCCGAGCCGAAAGCUUUUCUUCUCGGAGCCGUCGGGCGCUCCGGGGCUUUCUUCUCGUGAUAGGGAGGUUCCCUAGACUUGGGAGGGGUUUAGGGAGGUUAGAGAGAAGUUAGAGAGAGAAAGAAAGGCUUAUGGUGUGAAGAAAAUAUGAGGAGUUCACCCUUGUAUUUAUAGGAAGUGUAUAGUAAAGUAGUCUCCAAGCUUCGUCCGUAACUUUUGCAUACGAGCUCCGUUUUUGUCUGUCUUUUUACUGUUGAGUUCCUAUUAAUGAGAUCUUCAACUUUCAUUUAGACCUCGUUGGCUAAUUCUCAUUCUAUCUCGGAUUUACAAAACUGUAUCAAAUUCGCCGCGCUCGAAAAGUAGGGACUAAGCUUCGUCCAUAACUUUCGCAUACGAGCUCCAUUUUUGUCUGUCUUUUUACCGUUGAGUUCCUAUUAAUGAGAUCUUCAACUCUCAUUUAGACCUCGUUGGCUAAUUCUCAUUCUAUCUCGUAUUUACGAAACUGUAUCGAAUUCGCCGCGCUCGAAAAGUAGGGACUAAGCUUCGUCCAUAACUUUCGCAUACGAGCUCUAUUAUCGACGUUCUUUAUAUCCACGCGUUGGUAUUUACGAGUACUACAACUUUCAUUUAGAUCCCGUCGGCUAAAAAUCGACCGAUCUAAAAUUCAGAUUUCGGGCUGUGCACUGCUAUGCUAAAUCUUAGAAAAAUCAUAACUUCCUCAUACGAAGUCAGAUUUGGGCGUUCUUUUUAUUGAUGUUCUUAGUUUAACAUAUUCUACGACUUUCUUUUAGAUCUCUAAGGCUAAAUCUCGCUCUAUCGUAAAUUCACUAUUUACGCUUCCCGGUAUCGUGCCGGUUCCGUUGCGAAACUUCAACGGGUCAUAACUUCUUCGUUAUAACUCGGUUUUCGGCGUUCUUUAUAUGUACGAAAACCUUGUAACAUACUCUACAACUUGGUUAAGAUUAUUUAUUCUAAAUAAUCUUUUGUCGAAAAGUUGUUUUCGACCCCUAUUGCCUCUAAUUUGACUAGCCCAGAUUUGCGGGCGUUACA
rnacentral:lncRNA from 1 species